rnacentral:rRNA from 1 species
CCGCACAAGCGGUGGAUGAUGUGGAUUAAUUCGAUGCAACGCGAAAAACCUUACCUACCCUUGACAUGUACGGAAGUCACGAGAGAUCGAGAUGUGCUCGAAAGAGAACCGUAACACAGGUGCUGCAUGGCUGUCGUCAGCUCGUGUCGUGAGAUGUUGGGUUAAGUCCCGCAACGAGCGCAACCCUUGUCAUUAGUUGCUACAUUCAGUUGAGCACUCUAAUGAGACUGCCGGUGACAAACCGGAGGAAGGUGGGGAUGACGUCAAGUCCUCAUGGCCCUUAUGGGUAGGGCUUCACACGCCAUACAAUGGUACAUACAGAGGGCCGCCAACCCGCGAGGGGGAGCUAAUCCCAGAAAGUGUAUCGUAGUCCGGAUCGCAGUCUGCAACUCGACUGCGUGAAGUUGGAAUCGCUAGUAAUCGCGGAUCAGCAUGUCGCGGUGAAUACGUUCCCGGGUCUUGUACACACCGCCCGUCACACCAUGGGAGCGGGUUUUACCAGAAGUAGGUAGCUUAACCGCAGGGGGGGCGCUUACCACGGUAGGAUUCGUGACUGGGGUGAAGUCGUAACAAGGUAACCGUAAGGGC